ACAGAUAUGAAAUCCUUCUACCAUACGGAACAGUCCAAAGGGAAAUUUAUGAACAAUAUAAAAAGGAUGUUGAAAAUCCGGUGUGAAAGAGCCAGUUUUAUAAAAAGUGGAAGGAGAAUUUUCAGUUUGUAAAGGCUAAAAAGACAAAUAGCUUUACCAGAUGUACAACAUGUGUGACAUUGGAAAGGCAGCUCACGAAAACCACAUGUACAGAAAUGCGGGCAUUCUAUAGACAAAAGAAAGAAGAACAUAACCUUCGUCAGAUGUUUGAGAGGAAAACCUAUUACAGUAAGCGUGAACUGGCUCAACAAAGCCCUAGGCAGCACAUGUCCAUUAUUAUUGAUGGCAUGGAUCAAG